GGCUUUGGGGCCGAGCACUGGUAUCUGCGUGUGCUCUCCUGAGGUUAGCGGCAGGAGCCCGGGGCUGAGGACACCGGCCUACAGGCCAUGGCCUCCGCCGGGCUGCCCCAGGCCCCCGCCGAGGACUCCCCCUGGCCUCUGCGCCUCCUGCACGCCCCCCCAGGGCUGCUGCGGCUGGACCCUACGGGCGGCGCGCUGCUGCUUCUAGUUCUCGCCGCGCUGCUGGGCUGGAGCUGGCUGUGGCGGCGCCCGAAGCGGGGCAUUCCCCCCGGGCCCACGCCCUGGCCCGUGGUGGGCAACUUCGGCUUCGUGCUGCUGCCUCCUUUUCUCCGACGGAAGAGCUGGCCGUACCGGCGGGCAAGGACCGGAGAAUUGAAUACCUCGGGCCUGGGCGUGCAGUUGCUCCUGGCAGACCUGGCCCGUGUGUACGGUAAUAUCUACAGCUUCUUCAUCGGCCACUACCUGGUGGUGGUCCUCAACGACUUCCAGAGCGUGCGCGAGGCGCUGGUGCAGCAGGCCGAGGUCUUCAGCGACCGCCCGCGGAUGCCGCUCAACUACAUUCUGACCAAGGGGAAGGGGAUUGUAUUCGCGCAUUAUGGUCCAGUCUGGAGACAACAGAGGAAGUUCUCUCAUUCAACUCUUCGUCAUUUUGGCUUGGGAAAGCUUAGCUUGGAGCCCAAGAUUAUUGAGGAGUUCAAAUAUGUGAAAGAGGAAAUGCAAAAGAAUCGAGAAGUCCUCUUCAAUCCUUUCCCCAUUGUCAACAACGCUGUCUCUAACAUAAUUUGCUCUUUGUGCUUUGGCCAGCGCUUUGAUUACACCAAUAGUGAGUUUAAGAAAAUGCUUAAUUUUAUGUCACGGGCGUUAGAAAUCUGUCUGAACACCCAGCUCCUCUUGGUCAACAUAUGCUCCUGGCUUUAUUACCUUCCCUUUGGACCAUUUAAGGAAUUAAGACAGAUUGAAAAGGAUUUAACUAUUUUCCUUAAAAAAAUCAUCGAAGACCAUCGAGAGUCUCUGGAUAUAGAGAACCCUCAGGACUUCAUAGACAUGUAUCUUCUCCAUGUGGAGGAGGAGAGGAAAAAUAAUAGCAAUAGUAGUUUUGAUGAAGAUUACUUAUUUUAUAUCAUUGGCGAUCUCUUCAUUGCUGGCACUGAUACCACAACUAACUCUUUGCUUUGGUGCCUCCUGUAUAUGUCACUGAACCCCGACAUACAAGAAAAGGUUCAUGAAGAAAUUGAAAGGGUCAUUGGUGGUGACCGUGCCCCUUCCCUCACUGACAAGGCCCGGAUGCCCUACACAGAAGCCACCAUCAUGGAGGUGCAGAGGCUGAGCGUGGUGGUGCCACUCUCCAUCCCUCACAUGACCUCAGAGAAAACAGUGCUCCAAGGGUAUACCAUUCCUAAAGGCACGAUAAUAUUACCCAACUUGUGGUCAAUACACAGAGACCCAGCCAUUUGGGAGAAACCAAAUGAUUUCUACCCUAAUCGAUUUCUGGAUGAUCAAGGACAGCUUAUUAAAAAGGAAACAUUUAUUCCUUUUGGGAUAGGGAAGCGGGUAUGUAUGGGAGAGCAGCUGGCAAAGAUGGAAUUAUUCCUGAUGUUCGUGAGCCUAAUGCAGAGUUUCACAUUUGCUUUGCCUAAGGACUCGAAGCCGAUCCUGACUGGGAAAUAUGGUCUAACUUUAGCCCCGCAUCCGUUUAAUAUAAUCAUUUCAAAGAGAUAAAGAACAUCUCCAUGAAGAGAUGGUGCAGAGAAUGUAAAUACAUGUCCUUCUAAACAGAUUCUUCCUUCUGUAAUUGACAGCGGAUCCAGCAACUCUGCAGGUCUAGGUUAGGCGUGGAUUAGAGAGAGAUUGGAAAGAGGGUAGAGCACGUGGGACCUUUCGUCUUGGAGGGUUCCUCAGAAGGAAACUUCAGCCAUUUUAGUAAUGCAUGUGACUUGGGGGAUGGCGACGAAAGUACUGAAUUCGGAAGCAGGGGAUCCAGAUUUUAUUCCCAGCAGCCUCCACCAAUGAGCAUUUCUUCUCAUCCCUCAGUGCCUCAGUCAUUCCACGUGGAAAAUGACGGUAACAAAAUUUGACUUCUCUCUCUGUCUUGGCAUGAAUGAUGGUCAAAUGCUCCAUCUUUUCUGACAUCACCAAAGCACUGUUAAGCUCUGGAGAACAAAUUCAGGAGGAGAAGGAAGACCUACCUGUUUAAGACCCAGGACAACAUGAAAGUGGUGCUCAGACUUGAAUACUUCAUCAGAGAAGGACGUGGGUUUAGGGGACAAUGAAUUAGAGCUUUUCUUUUUGUUUUCUUGUGUUUUUUUUACUUAAUUUCUUUUUGGCUGCGUUGGAUCGUUGUCGCUGCAUCGGCUUCCUCUAGUUGCGGUGAGCAGGGGCUACUGUUCAUUGCCGUGCGUGUGCUCUCAUUGCGGUGACUUCUCUUGUUGUGGGGCACAGGCUCUAGGGCACACGCGGGCUCAGUAGUUGUGGCGCACGGGCUUAGUUGCUCCGCGACAUGUGGGAUCUUCCUGGACCAGGGCUCGAAUCCGUGUCCCCUGCAUUGGCAGGCAGAUUCUUUUUUUUAAAAUUUAAUUUUAUUUAUUUUAUUUAUUUUAUUUUAUUUUAUUUUUAUUAUUAUUAUUUUUCGGUACGCGGGCCUCUGACUGUUGUGGCCUCUCCCGUUGCGGAGCACAGGCUCCAGACGCGCAGGCUCAGCGGCCAUUGCUCACGGGCCUAGCCGCUCCGCGGUAUGUGGGAUCUUCCCGGACCGGGGCACGAACCCGUGUCCACUGCAUCGGCAGGCGGAUUCAAUCACUGCGCCACCAGGGAAGCCCUAAAAUUUUUUUAAUUUAUUCAUUUAUUUUUGGCUGCGUUGGGUACUCGUUGCCGCACGCGGGCUUUCUCUAGUUGCGGCGACCGGGGGCUACUCUUUGUUGCGGUGCACAGCCUUCUCGCUGCGGUGGCUUGUCUUGUUGCAGAGCAUGGGCUUUAGGUGCGCAGGCUUCAGUAGUUGUGGCACGUGGACUCAGUAGUUGUGGCUCACGGGCUCUAGAGUUCAGGCUCAGUAGUUGUGGCGAACGGGCUUAGUUGCUCCGCGGCAUGUGGGAUCUUCCCCGACCAGGGCUCGAACUCGUGUUCCCUGCAUUGGCAGGCGGAUUCUUAACCACCGCGCCGCCACCAGGGAAGACCUAGAGCUUUUCUUGACACAGAUCUUAUGUCGGUUUUAGAGGACUUGUUUUGUUAUUGUCUUUUUAUGAUUUUAAUUUUUACUUUUUGUAGACAUGGGAUGAAGUGGACCCUUGUUUAGUACAUUGAGGAAAGGUUAUUAUCUGAAUGUGUACGUCUGCCUUCUAUUUCAACUACGUGAACAGUGAACCUAGCUGAAGAAGCGGCUUCAUGGCAGAAUUCCUUUCUGCUGUGUUUACUCACAAGGAUGUAGCUCUAGCUUUUGACUUGAGCCCUGAAUAGUGAGCUCUGGAAUUUUAAUACUGGGAUUUAUGAGAAAAGGAUUCAAACCGUACUGAACAUUCCUUAACUGUUCUUCCUGCCACCAGGCCUAAUGUAUCUCAUCCUUGAAGACUUGCAAAGACAGGAAGGCAUUCUUAUUCUUUUUAAGAUAACUAAAUUGUUUCUUAAUAAAUAAACUCCCUCUAAAAGAACAGUUCUCAAAAAAGGUAAUGACUUCUUUCAGGGGAUAUUUGGAAAUAUGUGGGUGUGUUUUCAGUUAUCACAGUGAUGGAGGUGCUAAUGGCUUUUUUGUUGCCAUGAGGACAGGAUGCUAAAUGUCUGAGCAGUCCUAGACAAUGAAGAACUGACCUGCCCAAAGAGAACAUGCUCCAAAAGUGGCUAGCCCUUUCCUUUAUUCUCCCAUUAUACUCCUUAUAUAGAAAGAAUCGUGAUAAUAGUAUAAGCAACUGUACUUUUGAGCCUUUCCUCAUGCUGGCACCAUACUUUAUGCUUUACUUGUAUGCUUACAUAAUUCUUAAAGAAUGUUUAGUAAGAGGAUGCCGUUCUGUAGCUGAUGAAGCUCAGGCUUAGAGAAGUUACGGCCUACAUGCAGUUUAAAAGUACCACUGUGCAUUUCAAACCUACCAGUCUUUGUAACUGGAGAGUUCUUCCUGUACCACUUCUUUAUACUGCCCCUCUGCAUUGAUCUCAUACCAGUCUGCCUCUCUGCAUUUUCAAUAUGGAUAAAUGAAAUACAGGCCAAUCUUUAGGUGCCUUGAGGAUUUUUGUUAAUUAAAAAAGAAAAACUAAGAAACGAAAUGCAUAGGCACUGAGUGAAUGGAGAGGUUGUUAUAGAGACUUUAAUUUAUUAAUUAAUUAAAAAAUAAAUAAUUUUUUUUUUUUGGCUGCGUUGGGUCUUCGUUGCUGCGCGCAGGCUUACUCUAGUUGCUGCGAGCGGGGGCUACUCCUCAUUGCAGUGCGUGGGCUUCUCAUUGCGGUGGCUUCUCUUGUUGCGGAGCAUGGGCUUCAGUAGUUGUGGCACGUGGGCUCAGUAGUUGUGGCUCACGGGCUCUAGAGCGCAGGCUCAGUAGUGGUGCACAGGCUUAGCUGCUCCGUGGCAUGUGGGAUCUUCCUGGACCAGGGCUUGAACCCGUGUCCCCUGCAUUGGCAGGCAGAUUCUUAACCACUGUGCCACGAGGGAAGCCUCUAGAGACUUUAGAUGGAUGAUGCCUGUGUGGAUUACCCUGUACCAUGAGCAGGGCAGUUUGUUCUGACCUGGAGUUUCAUAUGCUGUGGAAUUGCACUAAUAACUUUGCAUUAGCAAGUUUCUUACUCUUCGAUUUAUACAUGCAUUUUCAGUACCCCCUAACCAAACAGUUUGUAGCUAACUUGAGAAAAAAAACUCUUCUGUGAGAUUAUGUUGAAAUCAGAUGUUUAUGAAACCUUAAUAUAAUAUAAUGCCUUGAACUGUAGCACUUUUAAAACAUCUGUUUAUGGCAAAUCACUGAAAGGACUGUUAAUGCUUCCCUUGCACAUGUUGAUAUUUUACGAUUUUUUACUUUAUGAUUUUUUUGAAGUGUAAAAAUAAUAGUACUUUGUUUUAUAAGUUUGCCUAAUACCUACUUUUUAGUCCUCAUCAUUAGCAUGAUUUUUGAUGCUUAUAUUAAACUUUUAAUUUUAACUGAGAUAGUGUCAUGUCUGGUUUGGGGGGUUUUGUUUUCUUUAAAUUGCUAAACAAAAUUCUCUUUUACCAGAUGUCAAGUUAAGAAAAGGAAGAGGGAAUAGACUUCCAAAAAGAGGGAGAUGGCCACAUGGAAUGUCACAGUGCAGAGGUCACCUCCUGAGGGACGGCUUCCGCUAAAGCCCUAUCUAAAGUGGCCUUUCCUGAGAACACCCUGCUAUAGACUGAAAGUUUGUGUGCCCCAAGAAUUCAUUAAUUGAAACCUGAUCCCAGUGUGAUUGUAUUUGGAGGUGGGACCUUUGGGACGUGAUUGUGUCACGUGAGUGGAGGCCUCUUGCAUGGGAUUAGGAUCCUUACAAGAGCCCAGAGAGCUCCCUGUCCCCCUCUGCCAUAUGAGACUGCAGUGCAAAGACAGCCGUCCAUGAACCAGGAAGCAGGCUCUCACCAGACACUGAAUCUGCGGAUGCCUUGAUUUUGGACUUCUAGUCUCCAGACCUGUGAGAAGUAAACUUCUGUUAUUUGUAAGAUACUCAGUCUAUGGUAUUUUUGUUAUAACAGUCUAAAUGGACUAAAAUAUUCCCUGAUUCAUCACCCAGCUUAUUUCCUUCAGAGCCCUCCUCACUAUCUACAGUUACCCUGUUUAUUUAAAUCCUCAGUUUCCACCAUUUCUUCCACCUCUGGCCAGAGGUGCCCUUUGUUGCACAAGUUUUCAAUUUUGAUGAAGUCCAAUUUGUUUAUUUUUUCUUUUGUUGCCUGUGUCUUUGGUGUCAUAUCCAAGAAAUCAUUGCCAAAUCCAAUGUCAUGAAGGUUUUUGCCUGUUUUCUUCUAAGAGUUUUGUAGUCUUAGCUUUUAAGUGUAGGUCUCUGAUCCAUUUGGAAUUAAUUUUUGUCUAUGGUGUAAGGUAAGGGUCUAACUUUAUUCUGUGCAUAUGGAUAACAAUUUUUCCAACACUAUUUGUUGAAAAGACUGUCUUUUUCCCAUUGAAUGGUCUUGGUACUCUUGUCAAAAAUUGAUUGACCAUAUAUAUGAGGAUUUAUUUCUGGGUGGAUACUAUCUUUUAAAGUAAUGUAUCACUAAACAGUUUUGUAGUAACACUGGGAUAUUCAGACGAAUCAACGAAACAAAAUAGAGAGCAUAUCCUCUAGUGUAUAAAAGUGGCAUCACAUUAUGAAAGAACAGGAAUAAUGUAUUUCAAAAAGUGCUAGGACAGUUGGUUAAUCACUUAGAAAACUAAAGUAACAUCUUUUCUCCAAUUAACUUCUUUUUCCAAGUUAAUCCCAAAAGGAUGACUUUCCCAAAUUAAUCCAGGUUAAUCCCCAAAGGUCUAAAAAGUAAAAAGAAUACAUCUGUAUGUGUCUCUGAAACAUUUUGAUAUUUUCUAAGCAUAAAACAGUUACGGACAUUUUGAAACAUACAGAAGUUAUGGGCAAAUCUUGUUUCAUCUGCAUUAUCCCACUUGCCUCUAGCUCCAUUCUGCACUGAUUUAUUGUGAAGCAAAUAUUAGACAUAUCACAUGAACAUAUUCAUAACGUAGAAUAUGACUUGCAAGGAUGGCUAAUCUCUAGUCGUAGUUACAUUUCAAAGAACUAUUGACAAGGGGUACAAAUAUAUUGACAAAAUAGCCUAAGAAAAUAUUUCAGAAUGUCAAAUCAAACAGACCAGAAGAACAUGGUUAAGCUAUUUUUCUCAAACAUGUUUACAAUUAAAUUACUAAUGGAACAACUGAUAAGAAUGCUACUAAAUGACCUAUAUCUUAUAGUUCCUUCUUAGUCAGGUUUACAACUCAGAGUUUUCUUUCUUUAGGUUGUGCCUCAUUUAAAAGAAAAUUUUCCACAAGGAAUCUACCAAUUUGGCAUUUCUAAUUCUAAAACAUGACACUAAAGAGGGAAAUUCCACCAGUGAAAACUCUUUUCUCCCAUCAUACUCUGCUCGGCAGCAUUUGUCCUCAUUGUAUUAUUUUUUUUCAAUCUGAGCUUGUUUAGCAACCCUCUUCCCACCUGGUAUGCAAAGGCAUGUAGUGAAUUGUCAGUUAUUGUAGUUUUGAAAGAUAUCUUCCAAGGAUAUUUAAGUCCUUUAUAUGGUUUCCUUGUACACAAACUAAUGUUCAUGAAAAAGCUGGUGCCUAAAGAUAAAAAUUAAAACAAAUUAAAUAAAACCUCAGUAAAGCUAUUAUUUUUAAAAAGGGAGAGAGACAGAGAGAGAUGGCAACUAAAUGCCAUACUUGACUCUAGACUGGAUUUAGUACUAGAAGGAAAAAAAAAACUAUAAAGGACAUUAUUAGGUCAAUUAACUAAAUUGGAAUACAGGAGAUCAGUUGGAUAGAAAUGUAUCAAUGUUAAAUUUACUAAAGUUGAUUACUAUCGUUACGUCAGAGAAUCACCCUAUUCCUAGGAGAUAUGCAUCGAAAUAUUAUAAAGGACCGUGAUGUGUGUAACUUACCUCAGAUGGUUCAGAGAUUAUGCAUAAUGUAUAUAAUAUCUGUCUUAUCUAUUAUAGAUAAAUAGAUCUAGGCAAUUGAUAAGAUGAAGCAAAUGUGAUAAAAUGUUAGCAAUAGGUAAAUAUGGCUAAGAGAUAUAUGGGCUCCUCUGUACUAUUUUUACAGUUUUUCUAUGUGCAAUUCUAAAUAAAUUGAAAAAAUUAAAUAUGAUUGAGAUCAUGAUUCCCAUAAAAAGGUCCACCCUCAUCUGGCCCCUGCCUACCUUUGCAGUCUCAUCUUCAUUCACCCAAAAGUACCCUGUGCUUUUGUUAUCCUAUGUUAAUGUAUUUCCAGACCACUGUCUAAUCUCGGUUCCUUCACAGACUACAUAUACAUUUUUCUCUCUGUCUGGAAUGUCCUCAAGACAUUUUCUCUGCCCGAAAACCUUCUAAUCAUCCUCACUACUCUGCUGUAAUAGAUCCAUCAUGAUGAAGUAGGUUAGGACACGUUAUGAGCAACAACGUUGCACUCAGGUAGACUGGGGCUCAAGACCUGCCUCUAUUCUUCCUGCCUAUCACACCUCAGGCAAGUUAUUUUCCUCUCUAAGCUUCCAGUUUUCCCAUAUGCAAAAAGAGAAUAAAAAUAGUGACAUGAGACUGAUGGGAGUGGAUGAGAAGUUACGUAUCACAUGCUUGGCACAGAGCCUGGCAAAUUAAGCAUUCCUUAAAUGCUAGUCUUCCCCUUGCUUCCCCCACCCCCCUCACUACCCACCUCCCACAGCCCCUUGCAUUCCCUUCUGGAAAGCACAACAUUUUGUCC